rnacentral:rRNA from 1 species
GAUGAACGCUGGCGGCGUGCCUAAUACAUGCAAGUCGAGCGAACAGACGAGGAGCUUGCUCCUCUGACGUUAGCGGCGGGCGGGUGAGUAACACGUGGAUAUCCUACCUAUAAGACUGGGAUAACUUCGGGAAACCGGAGCUAAUACCGGAUAAUAUAUUGAACCGCAUGGUUCAAUAGUGAAAGACGGUUUUGCUGUCACUUAUAGAUGGAUCCGCGCCGCAUUAGCUAGUUGGUAAGGUAACGGCUUACCAAGGCAACGAUGCGUAGCCGACCUGAGAGGGUGAUCGGCCACACUGGAACUGAGACACGGUCCAGACUCCUACGGGAGGCAGCAGUAGGGAAUCUUCCGCAAUGGGCGAAAGCCUGACGGAGCAACGCCGCGUGAGUGAUGAAGGUUUUCGGAUCGUAAAACUCUGUUAUUAGGGAAGAACAAAUGUGUAAGUAACUAUGCACGUCUUGACGGUACCUAAUCAGAAAGCCACGGCUAACUACGUG